AUUGAACGCUGGCGGCAGGCCUAACACAUGCAAGUCGAGCGGAGCGGCGGACGGGUGAGUAAUGCCUAGGAAUCUGCCUGGUAGUGGGGGAUAACGUCCGGAAACGGGCGCUAAUACCGCAUACUCUCAGAUGAGCCUAGGUCGGAUUAGCUAGUUGGUGGGGUAAAGGCCGACCAAGGCGACGAUCCGUAACUGGUCAGAGAGGAUGAUCAGUCACAUUGGGACUGAGAUACGGCCCAGACGCCUACGGGAGGGAGCAGUGGGGGAUAUUGCACAAUGGGCGAAAGCCUGAUGCAGCGACGCCGCGUGGGGGAUGAAGGCUUUCGGGUUGUAAACCUCUUUCGCUAACGAACGGGUAGGUGGAGAAGAAGCGCCGGCUAACUACGUGCCAGCCGCCGCGGUAAUAC
rnacentral:rRNA from 1 species